UAGACAGAUGAGGUGACAUGAAGAAGAGAGAGAAAGAUAGAGAACUGGAAAAAGUGAAUACGAGAGAUAAAGAAAAACAUAAACAAAAACAAUUGGAUUGAAUACAGUUAGUUAAAAGUGUUAUCGAAGUUAUAAUCUGAAUUUUAGUGAAUUAGUCUGAAGUAUAGUGGUAGUUAGAGUAGUGUAGUUUAUAUAAAAUCGUUUGGUGAGCUGAUCACGUUGUUAUUGCGUUGAGGAUCGAAAUAAUUUUGUUAAAAGACGUUAGAAGGACGAAAGUGAUUUGCUAGAGACGGAGCGAAUAGCGCUUAUAUCCCGGACGGGAACUACUGUUUGUGAGGUACCUGGGAGUGGUUGUUGGUGACGGCAUAACCAAGGAAAUACGGUAGAGGAAAAAUUCCAAGAAGAAGAACAAACUAAAAUAUAAGUGCAAAACAUAUUUAUUUCGUUAUAUUGCUCUGUAUUAAUGUGAGUAAUUCAUGUUUAUAAUUGAUUAUAGUUUGAUCUUCCUGCAAAGGGUUGAUUCAGCAAAAA